AUGGUCUCAGCCUAGAGCGGCUGCUGUUCAGCUUUGGCCCCUGAAGGGAGAACACAUCUGAGGAUGAAGAAUGGUUGAGGCAUUUGUUCCUCUGGUUUUCUCUCUGCUCCAGUGCAGUAGGUCACAAGAGGCCCAUUUCAGAAUGGGUUCUGUCCCACACUCUGGAGGAAGGAAUGCUGUAUGAGGAGGCCUAGAAGAAUCUGAACAGACAGGCUUUACUGGAGUUCCCCACUCGGCCCGUUAGUAUUAGACCAGAUCUUUUUGUCCAGUCACAUUUCUACGUGGUUGCCUAUCAAAGAAGUCUCUAUAAAAAGUCCAAGAGAACAGGGUUUGGGGAGCUUCCAGGAGGCAGGAAGGU
rnacentral:lncRNA from 10 species